GCCAGGUGUAGUGGUGGGCGCCUGUAAUCCCAGCUACUUGGGAGGCUGAGGCAGGAGAAUCGCUUGAACCCAGGAGGCGGAGGUUGCAGUGAGCCGAGAUCACGCCAUUGCACUCCAACCUGGGCAACAAAGCGAGACUCUGUCUCAA
rnacentral:SRP_RNA from 2 species